ACUGUUAGAUGUCGCUGUAGAUUUAGCAGUACAUUACUGUAAAAAUCCACAGUACUAUACUGUAUGUGUACAUUACAGUACAGUACUGCAGUUCAUAAUGCAUUCUGGGUAAAUUUGUUUGAGCGGGAAAAUUUUACAGUAUAUUUUGGUCUUGAUGUAACCUUGCUGUAGCCAUUGCUGUAAUGUGCCAGGUGUACUUGCAAUAAUCAGAGAAAGUGCGCCAACGUCAAAUCACACAGAGGGAGAGAGAGCACAACUCCUGGCUGCAGCUGAAGGAGGACGAUUGAUUUCUGGCAGUUCGUCUUACCAUUGCUUGUAAGCUGGAUUGGGUAAGAUGGAUCAUCUUUAAAGGAACCAGGAGUUAAGGCAGAUGUGGAGGCACAACGGGUGACACCAGACACACACCAAGCACAUUAUGUUCGGACAUUCAAUCAUGACAUGAUCCAGGUGGAUGCUGUCCAUUGAGGAAAGAGUUUGUUCAGCGGUUUCUGGAUAGAAUUAAUUCCAAAGAUGGGAAGAAGUGCACAUCCAGACAAGGAGCAAGCAAAAAGACAAGGAACUUGGUGCAGAGAAAAGCUGUGGCCAUUAACCCCUGUGAACAGCUUCAUGCAGUCGCUGAUUGAGUUCGAAUGGACGACUUCAAAGUAAAGGCCACUGUGGUCUGUCUGCCACAGUUUAAUUUUAAAUUUAUUUUUAGUGUUCAAUGAAAUUCAAGUAGAAUAUUUAAAACUAUGGGCCAGUGUUCUUUUUACCACAGUGAAAUGUUACCUUUUAGUCGAUGAUGGACUUUAAACUGAAAACUUCAAACUAUGGACCAGUGUUCUAUUUGCCAGAGUUAAAUAUGUUACAGCAGGGGUCUCCAAACUUGUUUAUACUUGUUGAUUUUAUUUUAUUUAACUUGUUUAUAUGUUUAUUAUUGUUUAAAAUCUUGUUUUAAAUAUGUUUUGUUUCAAUUAAAUGUUUUUUUUAAAUAAAAUUUUGAUACAUACAUUGCUUGGAUUGCCUUUUAAUUCAUUAUGUUUUAAUGUAGCAUUUUUACCAUAUUAAUAACUAUAGAUUUAAACCUAAAUAUCUAGCUAUUAUAUAUAAUAUUAUUGUAUUAACUGUAAUAAGUAAUAAAUAGU